CGCGGAAGUGAGGGCAGAAGGCGGGCGGGAAGGAGCCGCGCGAGGUCGGGCGCGCGGUGGGGCCUAGCGAUACGCACGCGCAGGGGCUUUCCCGCGCUUGCGCGGACUGGGCCGCUGUCGCGCUACGCCCCGGAACGGCUGGAACGACGCAGACUACCGUUAGCCACGGCCGUGGCGUCCUCCCGCGUCUGCGUCGCAGCCGGAGGGCCCGGAAGGCCGCGUUCGCCCCUGGACCGGGGCUGUGGGCGGUUCCUCCCCGCGGGGCUGCGGUGAGAAGACUACGAGGUGAGGUGCGUCUGGGAGGCUCCCGGGCCGCGACGCCGGGAAGCAGAACCGGGAAGCGACGGGUGUGGCGGGGAUGGAACCGGGCUCGUUGAGGUUCACAGGACCCUCCCGCUCGACGCAGUGCUUUGUCAUUGGAGCGGCGCGGAAGGAGCGUCCACGUCCUGCGGGCGCCCGGCGCCUUCCUCAAAGAUGCAGUUACCUUCUCAAAUGAUGACGCAGUGAACGUGUGCCGAUGGUUGGGGAAGAGAACGGUGACCAGCAGCAGUAAACGUUAGCGUAGACUGUGGACGUCCCGGUAAUCCGACCUUCCGGAGAUUGCCCUUGUUAAUUAACACUUGAUUGUACCUCCCCCCCCCCUUUUUUUUCUACGCAAAUAAAUGUCCAUGUUUUAGACACA